CACGAAGAGAAAAUUAAUGACAUGUGUUGGAAUAAAGGUUUGCAAGAAAAUAGAAUGCCAAGAUACUCGAGAGACAAAUUACUACUUUGCUCAAAGUAAUUUUAGUGAAUUCCUUAGUUCCCCCUAUUGUGGAAUAGAGUUCGAACAAUUGUUCUAUGUAGUUGGAUAGAUCUUCAAUGCAUAAUUUGGAUUAGUAUUGAUUGCUUGUUGUCAUAUUGUGUUGCGCAUGUGUGCUUGUUAAUGCUUUGAUUUGUAAUCUCUUUGUAGUGCUGUUUGAAUCUCUCACUUAGCAUGACUUGUGCUAGUUUGUCUAUAUUCUCUUAACCUAAUAUUUUUGGUGUUUGGAAAAAAAACGGGGGAGUCAAAGGUAUUAUAGUAUAGCUUAGGGGAGGAUGAUGUUUCAUUUUUGGUCUUAGGUGAAAACUAUUUAUUUUUGAAUGAAAC
rnacentral:lncRNA from 1 species